rnacentral:rRNA from 1 species
GAGUUUUGAUCAUGGCUCAGGAUGAACGCUAGCUACAGGCUUAACACAUGCAAGUCGAGGGGCAGCAUGACCUAGCAAUAGGUUGAUGGCGACCGGCGCACGGGUGAGUAACACGUAUCCAACCUACCGGUUAUUUCCGGGAUAGCCUUUCGAAAGAAAGAUUAAUACCGGAUAGUAUAACGAGAAGGCAUCUUCUUGUUAUUAAAGAAUUUCGAUAACCGAUGGGGAUGCGUUCCAUUAGUUUGUUGGCGGGGUAACGGCCCACCAAGACAUCGAUGGAUAGGGGUUCUGAGAGGAAGGUCCCCCACAUUGGAACUGAGACACGGUCCAAACUCCUACGGGAGGCAGCA